UCCGGUUUGUCACCGGCAGUCUCCCUAGAGUCCCCACCAUUACGUGCUGGCAACUAAGGACAAGGGUUGCGCUCGUUACGGGACUUAACCCAACAUCUCACGACACGAGCUGACGACAGCCAUGCAGCACCUGUGUGCAGGUUCUCUUUCGAGCACGAAUCCAUCUCUGGAAACUUCCUGCCAUGUCAAAGGUGGGUAAGGUUUUUCGCGUUGCAUCGAAUUAAACCACAUCAUCCACCGCUUGUGCGGGUCCCCGUCAAUUCCUUUGAGUUUUAGCCUUGCGGCCGUACUUCCCAGACGGGGCACUUAAUGCGUUAGCUGCGACACCGAAUCCGUCUAUAGACCCGGCAUCUAGUGCCCAUCGUUUACGGCGUGGACUAC
rnacentral:misc_RNA from 1 species